GAUGAACGCUGGCGGCGUGCCUAAUACAUGCAAGUCGAGCGAAGCGGGGACGGGUGAGUAACACGUGGAUAACCUCCUAUAAGACUGGGAUAACUUCGGGAAACCGGAGCUAAACCGGAUACUUAUCGAUGGAUCCGCGAGGCAUUAGCUAGUGGGUAAGGUAACGGCGUACCAAGGCAACGAUGCAUAGCCGACCUGAGAGGGUGUCCGGCCACACUGGAACUGAGAAACGGUCCAGACGCCUACGGGAGGCAGCAGUAGGGAAUCUUCCGCAAUGGGCGAAAGCCUGACGGAGCAACGCCGCGUGAGUGAUGAAGGCCUUCGGUUCGUAAAACUCUGUUAUUAGGGAAGCGGUACCUAAUCAGAAAGCAACGGCUAACUACGUGCCAGCAGCCGCGGUAAUUC
rnacentral:rRNA from 1 species